GUCAUUACAUGUUACAGAGUGUGUCGUCACAUAGUGUGUCCUUUCGUUAAAUAGUGUGUCAUUACAUGUUACAGAGUGUGUCGUUACAUAGUGUGUCAUUACAUAGUGUGUAUGUUACAGAGCUUGUUGUUACAUAAUGUGUCCUUACUUUGUUACAUUGUGUGUCGUUACAUAGUGUGUCUUUGCAUGUUACUGAGUUUGUCGUUACAGAGUGUGGCGUUACAGUGUUUCGUUACAUCCUUACAUAGGUUGUCAGUUUGUCUGAAUGUUGUGUUGUUUUUGUUACCUACUUUGUCACGUUGUUCAGAGGUUGAUGUUUGAGGUUUGUUUUGUUGUCUUGAAGACGUCUGUGGAGAGAGACUUCAGCCUCCGUGAGGGAGCAGCCAUGGCGUCUGCCAGUGACAUCGGGGAGAAGCUCCGCAAGAAGCGGCGAGCGUUCCAGGAAUCUCUAGGGAAGCGCCAUGAGGCGGACCAGCAGGCUCUGGUGCCCCACGGCAGCGAGGAGCUGGUCCGCAGGCCGCUGGAGGACCUGACGGCGGCGGAGGAGGACCCCGGGGAGACCCUGAGGAGGCAGAUGAAGGCCCAGAGACAGAGGCGCAAGAAGAAGCUCCAGGAGGUGGGCUCCGUCUCCGGAUCAGGAGAACGGGUGGAGGAGAGGAGCCAGCCCCGCCCCCACGAGGAGCAGCAGCAGGAGG
ensembl:lncRNA